GGUUAAUAUUCACUGUAGUAGAAACAUCUGUUGGGUUGGUAGAAUGUGGAAAGACCCACCUCAUUGGUUAAUAUUCACUAGUAGAAACAUCUGUUGGGUUGGUAGAAUGUGGAAAGACCCACCUCAUUGGUUAAUAUUCACUGUAGUAGAACCAUCUGUUGUGUUGGUAGAAUGUGGAAAGACCCACCUCAUUGGUUAAUAUUCACUAGUAGAAACAUCUGUUGGGUUGGUAGAAUUUAUCAAAAAUAAAGGUGUGGUGCUGUUAGUCGUCAUCACCCCAGCAGCUCUUUCGUUUUGGUAGUCAACUGCUUGUUUAAAAUUCAUACUUAUUACAAAUCUGCAGUUGUCUGACUAUUAUAUUAUUAUUUAAUGAAAGAAAUGUAAAAAUGCACUUUUUGUCUGGAAAUAAAAUAAACAUUUAUCUGCGUUAACCACUCCAGUCAACAGAUGGCGAUAUGCGUUUUUCAGGCGAUGCUAUCAGAGUGACGUAUAAUGUAGUGGACGGGACGCUUCUUCAACAACAUCUCGUCAGCCACCUCGGUAGCUUCCUAGCGGAAACGUUCAAGCUGUUCAGACUGAUUCGGUCUAUAUUUACUUCUGUAUUUGGAACAUAAUUCUCUCUUUUAACUAGUUUCCCCAUUUCAUGUCAUAUUUCCGUUUAGUCAGGUAACGGUACCUGGCUUGAUAAAUGAGCCUAUCACUGACUAGUCGCUAACUAGCUAGGUUAGCUGGCUAACAUCCCCGACCAUGAGCUCAGCAAGCUGCUGCCCUCCUGGUAAAAAAGAGGUCUGCUGGAAGGAGAAAGAAGGUAUUUGGCUGAACGUUGUCGUGAAAGAGGAGAAUGAAGAGGAGGAUGUCACAGUAAACGAAGAAGUAGAGGGUGAGGCUGUUACACAGAAAGAAGAGGAAGAAAACGAUUAUACUUUUUUCGGAGUGAAUGAAGGAGAGAUAACUGUCAUAUUGAAGGAGGAGGAGAGGGAAGAAGAGGAAGAGACAGAAGAUCUGAGUAACACCAGAGAGAGACCAGACUCUCCUUCUGACAGCAGGAAGAGUCCUUCACGGAAACCAGACCCGAGACGUCCAAACCAGCAGGACGACAUCACUGCUCCCAGUGUGGAAAGAGUUUUACUCAGUUAGGGAGCCUGAGAACACAUAAGAGAAUACACACUGGAGAGAAGCCUUACCACUGUUCCCAAUGUGGAAUGACGUUUACCCAGUUAGGGAGCCUGAGAACACAUAAGAGAAUACACACUGGAGAGAAGCCUUACCACUGUUCCCAAUGUGGAAUGAUGUUUACCCAGUUAAGGAGCCUGAGAACACAUAAGAGAAUACACACUGGAGAGAAGCCUUACCACUGUUCCCAAUGUGGAAUGACGUUUACCCAGUUAGGGAGCCUGAGAACACGAGAGAAUACACACUGGAGAGAAGCCUUACCACUGUUCCCAAUGUGGAAUGACGUUUACCCAGUUAGGGAGCCUGAGAACACACAAGAGAAUACACACUGGAGAGAAGCCUUACCACUGUUCCCAAUGUGGAAUGACGUUUACCCAGUUAGGGAGCCUGCAAACGCAUGAGAGGGGACACACAGGGGAAAAGCUUUUCCAAUGUUCCCAUUGUGGAAAGAGUUUUGGCCAGGUAGGAAACCUGAACAAGCAUGAGAGGACACACACAGGUAAGAAGAUGUACCGCUGCUCCCAGUGUGGAGAGAGAUUUACCCGGUUAAGGUACCUGAAAGAGCAUGAAGGAAUACAUACAAAUACACAGGAGGAGAAGACAUACCACUGCUCUCAUUGUGGAAAGACAUUUUCCCAGUCAGAGAACCUGAAAACACAUGAGAGAAUCGAGAGGCUGUGUUCUGACUUGUGUUUCUGACUGAGAAUGUGUGUGUUUGUUUGGGCUGUCAGACUUGAGUUCACUUUGUGUAAUGUUAGUGCACUAUUUUUAAUUGUGAUUAAUCCAUUGUCUGAAAGGGUUGAAAACACACUGAAAACAUCCAGAAUACAUCCUAUAUACAGCUAGAAUCUACAAUGCCAUGUAAACACAAGAUGACAUUGAGGUUAAAUAAAGUGUGAUUUAUCAAUGGAACAUA